CGCUCCCAACACACGCCUGCGCACGAGCCGUCUCCCGCCUCCUUUUCCCGCCGACUGAGGGGGCGGAGACAGGGCCGGGAAGGGGGCAUGCGCAGUGGCAGCGACUAAGGUUUAGUGAGGCGGCGCCGCGCGGCGCGAGGCGGGUCCUCAGGCUCUUGUUUUUCCCGCUCGUUUUCCGGGGAUCCCCCGCGGUGGGACAGUGAGCAGUUCAGGACUGAACUGCCUCAGCCGAGGUCUUCCUCCAGAGACAGCGUUUCACCAGGCUGCUCUCGAACUCCUGACCUCAGGUGCUUCACCCACCUUGGCCUCCCAAAGUGCUGGGAUUACAGGCAUGAGACACCACGCCCUCUGACUUUUUACAUUUUUAGCUGGUUGGGAAAAAAAAAAAAAUACCAAAAGAAGAAUAUCUCUUGAUGUGAAAAUGGUGUGAAAUUUACAUUUCAGUGUCUAUAAAUAAAGUUUCAUUUGAAAACAGCCAUGCUUACUCAUUUAUAUAUUAUCUCUGGCUACUUUUGAGCUAUGACAUUAGAGCUAUUUACAUGGUUAUACUUUUCUGAACAGCCAGUGGGAUGUGGUAAAUAUUUAACAACAGCUUCUCUGGAGGAGAAUGUAUUUGUUAGUAUGUAUUUAUGUGUGUGUAUAUAGUUUAUUGUAAAUUUUACUGAUUUUUCUAUCACUUCCUUAAGACCACAAGACAAUUAAUAAAACAAAUUGAACCC